GCUGCUUUAGCUCAGUGGCUAGAGCGCUGCCUUUACACGGCAUAGGCCACAGGUUCGAUCCCUGUAAGCAGCA